rnacentral:rRNA from 1 species
AAUCAACGCUGGCGGCGUGCCUCAGACAUGCAAGUCGAACGCGAAAGCCUCCUUCGGGGGGCAAGUAGAGUGGCGCACGGGUGAGUAACACGUAGGUAAUCUACCGUUGGAUUGGGAAUAACCACCGGAAACGGUGGCUAAUACCGAAUAAUGCAGCGGCACCUAAUGGUGACAGUUGUUAAAGCGGGGGAUCGCAAGACCUCGCGUCUGAAGAGGAGCCUGCGGCAGAUUGCUAGUUGGUAAGGUAACGGCUUACCAAGGCGAUGAUCUGUAGCCGGCCUGAGAGGGCGGUCGGCCACACUGACACUGACAUACGGGUCAGACUCCUACGGGAGGCAGCAGUCGGGAAUUUUGGGCAAUGGGCGAAAGCCUGACCCAGCAACGCCGCGUGAAGGAUGAAAUCCUUCGGGAUGUAAACUUCGCAAGAACGGGAAGAAUAAGUAAGAGCUAACAUCUCUUACGAUGACGGUACUGUUUGUAAGCUCCGGCUAACUCCGUGCCAGC